GUGUGAGUGUGUGAGUGGGUGUGUGUGUGAGUGUGUGGGUGUGUGAGUGGGUGUGUGAGUGUGGGUGGUCAGCAGCAGGCUGCUGAGCCUGCCCCUCUCUGCUGAGGCUGUGCAGGCCAGGCUUGGAACCCUGUGGGCUAGAAGGGGUAGGAGCAACCUUGGAGGCAGCAGAAGACAGGAGCUGGGAUCUGACGAACGGUCGCAAGAUCGGGACUUCUGGCAGGCUAAAGAAAACAUCUUGACUGAAGUUACAUUUCAGUCCUGAGCCCUAAGAGAGAAGAAGGGAGAGGGAGAGAGAAACAUCAAUGAUGAGAGAAUCAUCGAUCAGCUGC